rnacentral:lncRNA from 1 species
UCCCGGUAGCGUCCCUGUUGAUGAUACCCAAGUCCAAGGUAAUUUUCUAUUUUUUUCAGCUUUUUUGGUAACUUUAUGAGUUCUUGCAUGGUAUCUUUAUGUGUUCUUCGAUGGUAACUCUUUCUGUUAUGCACGGGUAACUUUAAUUGCCAAGCCUGUCGGUACUCCAAGAAACUGACAGAUUUAUGUGAGUCGUUGCAGAUGUUGGUUCGGUGCAAGCUUUAAUUGACAAGCCCGUCGGUAGUGAGGAAACAACAGCUUCUCAGGAUAAAUUACAUUAAAUGAUCGAUUUGAAGAACGAAGACGUUUUAUCUACCAAUAAUCUUGUAAAUAUAUUUGGUGUGCAA